rnacentral:rRNA from 1 species
AUGGCUGAAGGGAGUGCCUAUUUUGAUUGGGACAUGGCAGCCUCGGGGGCCGGGAACCACUUGACGAGCUUCGACCAUGGCGGUGUUGCGCAACACUUUGUCCAUAUUGAUGGUGGUGCUUCAGCCGGGGUGGUCGUCGUCUCGGGUGCCGGAUCAAGGGCUUCUGGUGGCAUCAGGGAGAUGGAUCCCACCAGCUUCCUCGGCUAUGGGAGCAGCAACGCCCCUGCGGCAAUCGCGGUGCCUGCUCGGGCGCUGCUGCGUGCCAGAUCCAGCGGCCAGGGGCUGACACGGUUCAAAGGGUCGUGGGCCAUGGAGGAAGACACGCUGCUCAGGGCGAAGGUGCAGGAAUUCGGCAAAGGGAGGUGGGUGAAGGUCGCGCUGUACCUCCCCGACCGAAGCGGGAAGCAAUGUCGGGAGAGAUGGAUCAACCAACUUGACCCCAACAUUGAGAGGAAAAUCUGGACUGACGCGGAAGACAUCAAGCUGAUCGAGGCGCAUCAGACGUGGGGGAACCGCUGGUCGGUGAUCGCCCGGCUACUCUCCGGUCGGCCGGAGAACGCCAUCAAGAACCACUGGAAUGCCACCAAGCGCAGUCUAAAUGCGAAGCGCCAGAUCAAGAAGAGGAAUAGCAAGAAACCACCUCCCGGCCAGCUCUGCCUUCUUGCGCAGUACAUCCGCAGCGUGGAGCCGCACACCGGAUCACCCGCGGAUACACGUUCGGUGUCCCCACCAUUGUAUCAUGACCAAGAGCACGGUGGGCAGACGGGGAUGGCCGGUAGAGAUACUGCCGUCGUCAUCGCCCCUACCGAGCAUGCACACCUGACCUACCCCAAUCCGGCAAUGAUUGGUAUGUACUACCACCUGAACCCGACAAACAUGCACUACUGGGCACCAAAUUUGAAUGCCGCUGAUAGGCAAAAUGAGGGGUACUCGUACUGCAUCCCUCCCAAUGCGCACCUGAACAACUGCCUGCCGUACGGCUUGUCACCAACGCAGAUGGUUAGUGAGCAAGACAUCCAGCAGGCGGCCAAUGCGAGCAUAAACAUGUAUGCGUUCACUGGACAACGUACCCUCCCGGUAGUGGUAGAGAUGCACCGUGAGUCUGCCGCCAACAACCAACUGGGCAAUGUGGGUGGUGGAGCUGGAGGCUGGUCCUACUACUACGACAUGGACGCGGCUGGUUCGAGUGGCCUUGCCAGAGGUAGUGGUAGCGGUAGCGACCCUGAUGACAUCGACAUGGUGCAGAUGGCCUUGAGGGAGUUUGCCAUGCGGGACCAGUAG